AUGUUCCUACGGGGGGCAGCAGUGAGGGAUAUUGGUCAAUGGGGGAAACCCUGAACCAGCAACGCCGCGUGAGGGAAGACGGUUUUCGGAUUGUAAAGCUCUAUCAGCAGGGAAGAAAAUGACGGUACCUGACUAAGAAGCCCCGGCUAACUACGUGCCAGCAGCCGCGGUAAUACGUAGGGGGCAAGCGUUAUCCGGAUUUACUGGGUGUAAAGGGAGCGUAGACGGAGGAGCAAGUCUGAUGUGAAAAUCCGGGGCCCAACCCCGGAACUGCAUUGGAAACUGUUUAUCUAGAGUGUCGGAGA
rnacentral:rRNA from 1 species